AACCAAGCUCCGAAUACCUGCGAGUGCUAUCUGGGAGACAGACGGCGGGUGCUAAGGUCCGUCGUCAAAAGGGAAACAGCCCUGACCUACAGCUAAGGUCCCCAAGUCACGUCUAAGUGGGAAAGCAUGUGGGAAUCCCAAAACAACCAGGAGGUUGGCUUAGAAGCAGCCAUCCUUUAAAGAAAGCGUAACAGCUCACUGGUCUAAACAAGGGUUCCUGCGGCGAAGAUGUAACGGGGCUCAAGACGUGCACCGAAGCUUAGGGUGUGGAUUUAUCCACGCGGUAGCGGAGCGUUCCGUAAGCCUGCGAAGCGAUCUGGUAAUGGGUCGUGGAGGUAUCGGAAGUGCGAAUGCAGACAUGAGUAGCGAUAAAGAGGGUGAGAUGCCCUCUCGCCGAAAGACCAAGGGUUCCUGCGCAAGGCUAAUCCGCGCAGGGUGAGCCGGCCCCUAAGACGAGCCCGAAGGGGGUAGUCGAUGGGAAUGCGGUUAAUAUUCCGCAGCCUGGUGGUGUGUGACG
rnacentral:rRNA from 14 species